CCUCCUCCUCCUCCCGCCCAGCCCCUCCAGCCUUCUGUCUCUUCUCCUCCCAAGGAAACAAGGUCAUGCAGCUCCUCCGUGAAGUCGCUGCUUGGAAGGAGCAGAACCGACGGCUCCUCGUCUUCUGCAGGGUCGGUCGUGUGAUUGAAACCUUUUCAAAAUAUGAGCCGUUCUCUGCUCCCUCCCACACGGAGUCAGCGGCAUGCGGGUCUUCAAUGCCGAGCCAGUGGGGAGGAUCUGAUUGGUCGGGGUCCGUGUACGUAAUGUUAUUUCGUUUUUUCGUUUCAUUCCAAAUACGGAAUACGGAAAUCACGUGGUUUUUUCGUUUUCCGUUUGAAAACCAAAAACGGAAAAACGGAAUACCACCUCCGUAUCUCGUUUCUGCUGUCUGAAACCAAAAACGACAGAACGGAAGUGCUUAAAAUGAAGUCAAAAUAAAAGCCAGUGAUACAUAUUCGUAUUAUGAAUCAAUAUAAAGAAUAAAUAAUUAAACGGGGAUAUUUUAACGAUGCAAACACAUAGCAGGGCAACGUUAGAAGACUAUUAAUUAGUCAAUAUAAAGAAUAAAGAAUUAAACCUGGAUAUGUUAGCGACAGUGGUGACGACGGGAAGUUUAAUAUUCAUGUAGCCUACACAGCAAGAAUCACCUUCUCACUUAAUCGUUGCAUUGUUUGAUGCAACACAUGGAAGAGUGAGGAUAUGAUGACCACGAGGCAAUACAUAUUGACAAUUGAAAAAUAAAGAGACAGUUGAGUUUUUCUUAUUAAGCAGCGUUCAGUUAGCACCCAGUCACAGCACCACCUGUGCUUCACCUGUAACCUUCAUUACUCCAUCAUUACAUCAACGGUUAAUGGGGACAAGUUUUUUGUUUUGUUUUUCGUUUUAUGUUUAUAUGCAUUUGUGUGUAUGUAUAGUGUGUGUGUUUAUAUGUAUAUAUGUGUGUGUAUAUGUAUGUAUAUGUAUACGUAUGUAUGUGUGUAUAUAUAUAUGAUUCUUUGAAAUAAGUUUUUUCGAGAAAUCAUAGGUUAGGGCACUUAUAAGCUCGUUAGCUUCAGCCUCGACCCUUUCGGUCAGCCACUUUCUUCUUUUGUUGAAUUAUGAUUGUUGUAUAUUUUGCUGAUCGAAAUAAACUAAAUCAUCAUAAACAUGUAA